rnacentral:rRNA from 1 species
GACGAACGCUGGCGGCGUGCUUAACACAUGCAAGUCGAACGGAAAGGCCCUGCGCUUGUGGGGUUCUCGAUUGGCGAACGGGGGAGUAACACGUGUGUAUCAUGCCCUUGUCUUUGGGAUAACUUCAGGAGACAGGGGCGAAUACCGGAGAGGAUCUCCUGCUGCACGGUGGGGGUUGGAAAGUUUCGGCGGUUGGGGAUGGUCUCGCGGCUUAUGAGCUGCUUGGUGGGGUAGUGGCUUACAAAGGUUUUGACGGGUAGCCGGCCUGGGAGGGUGACCGGCGUCAUGGGGACUGCGGUACGGCCCAGAAUGCUACGGGAGGCAGCAGUGGGGAGUAUUGCGGAGUGGGCGGAAGCCUGAUGCAGCGGCGCCGCGUGCGGAAUGACGGCCUUUGGGUGGUGAACCGAUUUCGAAUGAGACGAAGAGUGAGUGACGGUACUGGGUAAGGAAGCACCGGCUAACUACGUG